AUAUUUGAGGAUAGAAAGGCAGCUAUCACGCCUUAUAUCAUAAAGUGUUCCACGCUCGGUUUUCCAUAGGAGGAAAGUAACGCAAGAUGGUCGAUAUGAGGUCUUACAAGAGAUGUAGGGGGUGCCGACCUGCCAAAUAU
rnacentral:ncRNA from 1 species